UACGGGGAGCAAGCGUUGUUCGGAUUUACUGGGCGUAAAGGGCGCGUAGGCGGUCGUGACAAGUCACUUGUGAAAUCUCCGGGCUUAACUCGGAACGGUCAAGUGAUACUGUCGGACUAGAGUGCAGAAGGGGCAACUGGAAUUCUCGGUGUAGCGGUGAAAUGCGUAGAUAUCGAGAGGAACACCUGCGGCGAAGGCGGGUUGCUGGGCUGACACUGACGCUG
rnacentral:rRNA from 1 species